AUUGAACGCUGGCGGCAGGCCUAACACAUGCAAGUCGAGCGGCAGCGGGAAGUAGCUUGCUACUUUGCCGGCGAGCGGCGGACGGGUGAGUAAUGUCUGGGAAACUGCCUGAUGGAGGGGGAUAACUACUGGAAACGGUAGCUAAUACCGCAUAAUGUCGCAAGACCAAAGAGGGGGACCUUCGGGCCUCUCGCCAGUCGAUGCGCCCAGAUGGGAUUAGCUAGGAGGUGGGGUAACGGCUCACCUAGGCGACGAUCCCUAGCUGGUCUGAGAGGAUGACCAGCCACACUGGAACUGAGACACGGUCCAGACUCCUACGGGAGGCAGCAGUGGGGAAUAUUGCACAAUGGGCGCAAGCCUGAUGCAGCCAUGCCGCGUGUAUGAAGAAGGCCUUCGGGUUGUAAAGUACUUUCAGCGGGGAGGAAGGUGUUGAGGUUAAUAACCUCAGCAAUUGACGUUACCCGCAGAAGAAGCACCGGCUAACUCCGUGCCAGCAGCCGCCGUAA
rnacentral:rRNA from 1 species